GGCGAACGGGUGAGUAACACGUGGGUAACCUGCCCCUGGCUCCGGGAUAACCUUGGGAAACCGAGGCUAAUACCGGAUACGACUCGCGACCGCAUGGUCUGCGGGUGGAAAGGAUUCCGGCCAGGGAUGGACUCGCGGCCUAUCAGCUAGUUGGUGGGGUAAUGGCCUACCAAGGCGACGACGGGUAGCCGGCCUGAGAGGGCGACCGGCCACACUGGGACUGAGACACGGCCCAGACUCCUACGGGAGGCAGCAGUGGGGAAUAUUGCGCAAUGGGCGAAAGCCUGACGCAGCAACGCCGCGUGAGGGAUGACGGCCUUCGGGUUGUAAACCUCUUUCAGCUCCGACGAAGCCUUCGGGUGACUGUAGGAGCAGAAGAAGCACCGGCUAACUACGUGCCAGCAGCCGCGGUAAUACGUAGGGUGCGAGCGUUGUCCGGAAUUAUUGGGCGUAAAGAGCUCGUAGGCGGCCUGUUGCGUCUGCUGUGAAAGCCCGGGGCUUAACCCCGGGUCUGCAGUGGAUACGGGCAGGCUAGAGUUCGGCAGGGGAGACUGGAAUUCCUGGUGUAGCGGUGAAAUGCGCAGAUAUCAGGAGGAACACCGGUGGCGAAGGCGGGUCUCUGGGCCGAUACUGACGCUGAGGAGCGAAAGCGUGGGGAGCGAACAGGACUAGAUACCCUGGUAGUCC
rnacentral:rRNA from 1 species